rnacentral:snoRNA from 1 species
GUUAACUGUGAUGAGUCACUAACAGACCUGUAAUGAUUUGCGGCUAUGAUCGCAGAUUUAUUGAACAUCUAAGGGACUGAGUUAAC